UCUCCCUCUGUCUCAUUCUCUACCUCCCAUAUUCUCUAUCUCUUGUUCUGCCUCUACUUCUCUCUCUCUCCCUCCGUCUCAUUCUGCCGCUCUGUCUCUCUCUCUCUCUCUCUCACAUCAGGAUUCUGAUAAUCCAAAGGCACCAGUAGCUCACAAGAGAUUUUGAAAUUGCAUGACAGAGGCUUCAACAGAGCUGGUGAGAGGGGGAUCGCUCUGAGGCAGACUCAGCUCCUUCUCUGUUCUUCCGGACGCAGAGUGAAAGAUUUUCGACCAUCGGCAAGAACUGCAGGACAUCAGAGGGUUGAGGGCGGCGUCCAGCAGCGAAUGGCAGCAGAGGACAGGAGCGGCUUGGCCGGAGAGGGGACAGGUCCCGAGGAUGACCAGGCCAGGCCCGAGGAGAGCGAGAUGCAGCGGCUCCAGCCCAACGGGAGCGCCGAGGGGCUCCAGCCAGAGGCGGGAGGAGGAGACGAGGAGCGAGGGCAGAGGACCGAAGGCGGGCGGGACAACACCCUGUUACUGGCGGCCGGCAGUGUGAUCUGCGGGUGCUCGUGCGUGGGGAUCUACGCCGUGGUCAACGCCG